rnacentral:lncRNA from 1 species
CCCGCACCCACCGGAUGCCCGCGCACGCUGAGCAGGCCUUGAGGCGUCGGAGACCACGUGGUCCACCCAACGGCCCAACAACGGAGGCAUGAGACAACAAUCCUUGAAUCAGCUCAGUGGAUCAGCUGACACCACCCACACCGAUAAUCUGCCUCAACCAGUUCUGCCAAACCAACCAGGAAGAGUAAAUAGCAAGAAAAACUCCAACAACCUCUGAUUCCAUCUUCAACCUGGCCAAUCAGCACUCCCCACUUCCCAAGCUCCUACCCGCCCAAUUGUCUUUAAAAACUCUGUUCCUCAAAUGCUCGGAGAGACUGAUUUGAGUAAUAAUAAAACUCCAGUCUCCCACA